UUUGGAUUUGGGGGGUUUUUGCUGGCCUCUUAAAAAGGUUCAGCUCCCCUGAAAUGCAUUAGCAGAACAAUCCUUGUUCAUUGGCGUGAUAACUAUCUAUGCUAUUGAAUGUGAGGUGCAGUUCAGCUUUCUAACAGUCCUUUGGACAAAUUCAUCAUUAAUGUGACCUCAAAUCAGGUAGGACUACCCGCUGAACUUAA
rnacentral:misc_RNA from 1 species